ensembl:lncRNA
CUUAUGGCGCCCUAUGGAUCCUUAUGGCUCCCAAUGGGUUGCUAUGGAUCCUUAUGGCACCCAAAGGUGGAAGGAGGUGCCUUAUGGGGCCCUAUGGCACCCUAUGGGGCCCUAUGGCACCCUAUGGAUAUGUAUGGAUCCUUAUGGCACCCAAAGGUGGAAUGAGGUGGCUUAUGGGGCCCUAUGGUGCCCUAUGGAUCCUUAUGGGUCCCUACGGAUCCUUAUGGCACCCUAUGGAUCCUUAUGGCACCCUAUGGAUCCUAUGGCGCCCUAUGGAUCCUUUUGGCACCCUAUGUGGCCCUAUAGCACCCAAAGGUGGAAGGAGGUGCCUUAUGGGGCCCUAUGGGACCCUACGAGGCCCUAUGGCACCCUAUGGAUCCUUAUGGCACCCUAUGGGGCCCUAUGGGGUCCUUAUGGCACCCAAAGGUGGAAUGAGGUGCCUUAUGGGGCCCUAUGGGAUCCUAUGGGGCCCUAUGGCACCCAAAGGUGGAAGGAGGUGCCUUAUGGGGCCCUAUGGCACCCUAUGGAUCCUUAUGGCACCCAAAGGUGCAAGGAGGCGGCUUAUGGGGCCCUAUGGUGCCCUAUGGGGCCCUAUGGCACCCUAUGGGGCCCUAUGGGAUCCUAUGGAUCCUUAUAGCACCCAAAGGUGCAAGGAGGCGCCUUAUGGGGCCCUAUGGGAUCCUAUGGAUCCUUAUGGCACCCAAAGGUGCAAGGAGGCACCUUAUGGGGCCCUAUGGUGCCCUAUGGGGCCCUAUGGCACCCUAUGG